rnacentral:rRNA from 1 species
AUUGAACGCUGGCGGCAGGCUUAACACAUGCCAGUCGAGCGGAUGAAGGGCGCUUGCCCCUGGAAUUAGCGGCGGAAGCGGGAGUAAUGCCCAGGAAUGUGCUUGCCUGCGGGGGAUGAUGUGCGGAAAAGGGUGCUAAUACUGCAUACGACCUGAGGGAGUAGGUGGGGGAUGUUGGGAGUUCACGCUAUGAGGUGAGCCUAGGUCGGCUUAGCUAGUUGGUGGGGUAAAGGCCUACCUCGGCGAGGAUCCGUAACUGAUGUGAGAGGAUGAUCAGUCACACGGGAAGUGAGACACGGACCAUGCUCCUGCGGGAGGCAGCAGUGGGGAAUAUUGGACAAUGGUCGAAAGCCUGAUCCAGCCAGGCCGCGUGUGUGGAGAAGGUCUUCGGAUUGUAAAGCACUCUAAGUUGGGAGGAAGGGCAGUAAGUUAAUACCUUGCUGUUUUGACGUUACCAACAGAAUAAGCACCGGCUAACUUCGUG